rnacentral:rRNA from 1 species
UACGUAGGUGGCAAGCGUUUGUCCGGAUUUACUGGGCGUAAAGAGCGCGCAGGCGGUCGACCAAGUCGCGUGUGAAAGCCCCCGGCUCAACUGGGGAGGGUCACGCGAUACUGAUCGACUCGAAGGCAGGAGAGGGUAGUGGAAUUCCCGGUGUAGUGGUGAAAUGCGUAGAUAUCAGGAGGAACACCGGUGGCGAAGGCGGGUCUCUGGGCAGUUACUGACGCUGAGGAGCGAAAGCGUGGGGAGCGAACAGG